GGCUGAAGGAGACUGAUGUGGUUUCUCCUCAGUUUCUCUGUGCGGCACCAGGUGGCAGCAGAGGAAAAGCUUUGGAUCACAAUUCCCAGUGCUGAAGAAAAGGCCAAACUCUGGAAAAAAUUUUGAAUAUUUUGAGCCAAAUGUGAGGACCACAACCUGUGAGAACGGAAAAUAAAUCCUGGGACCCCAGACUCACUAAGCCAAAGGGAAAAGCCAAGCUGGGAACUGGCUUAUGCAAACCUGCUUCCCAUCUGGUUCCUAAAUAAGAUAGCUAUUACACAAAGAUAAAAAAGCUACAUCCCUGCCUCUACCUCCCUCGCAUGUAAAAUGUGUAUUCAGUGAACACUGACCAAAGACAGAAGAAUGCAACCAUUUGCCUCUGAUUUACCCACACCCAUUUUUUCCACUUCUUCCCCUUUCCCCAAUACCCGCACUUUUCCCCUUUACUUACUGAGGCCCCCAGACAAUCUUUGGGAAAAGCACGGACCACAGUUUUUCCUGUGGUUCUCUGUUCUUUUCUCAGGUGUGUCCUUAACCUUGCAAAUAGAUUUCUUGAAAUGAUUGACACUCACCUUGGUUGUGUUCUUUGAUCAGCGCCUGUGACGCAGCUUCAGGAGGUCCUGAGAACGUGUGCACAGUUUAGUCGGCAGAAACUUAGGGAAACGUAAGACCACCAUCAGUACGUAGGAGUUGUGCAUUGGUUUGGUCUGGAAGGAGGAAAAUUCAAAGUAAUGGGGCUUACAGGUCAUAGAUAGAUUCAAAGAUUUUCUGAUUGUCAAUUGAUUGAAAGAAUUAUUAUCUACAGACCUGCUAUCAAUAGAAAGGAGAGUCUGAGUUAAGAUAAGAGACUGUGGAGACCAAGGUUCUUAUUAUGUAGAUGAAGUUUCAUAGGUGGCCACCCUUAGAGAAAAUAGAUGGCAAAUGUUUCCUGUUCAGACCCAUAGAAGGUGCUAGACUCUCAGCCAAUGUCUUCAGGAUCAGAGAAAGACCUGGAAAGGGAAGGGAUUCUCUACAGAAUGUAAAUGUCCCCCACAAGAGACAGCUUGGCAGGGCCAUUUCAAAGUAUGUCAAAGAAAUAUAUUUUGAGGUAAAAUAUUGAUUUCACGGCCUCUGUCUGUCAUGUGAUGCUGCACUGGAGUCAGGUUGGAAUUUGGUAUCUUAUUGCUAGAGAGCCUUGUCAGUCUUCAGAUCUCUGUUUUAAUGUUGGUUCUGGUCAGUUCUGCCCAAAUUCCAAAGGGAGGAGGGUACAAUGAGGCCUGUCCAGCCCCCACUCCUCCUCAUCACGGCCUGAACUAGUUCUUCAGGUUUCUCUGGAAUCCCUUUGGCCCAGAGGCGGGGUCCACGCAAUCGGCUGUGGGGCUUAGAAUUUUAUUCUUGGUUUACGGAAGCUUUAGGGAGGUGCUCUGAGACCCGAAACUAGACUCGACUUUAACAGACACAGACGACCCUGAAGAUGGAAAUGUUUUCUUCCAAAUUGUGCUGCACGUUUUUGGCGAGAGCAUGGGGCUGUGCGGCGUCCCCUCCCUGGCGCCCACCUGUGCCCUGCACACUGGCCUGCACUGUGGUGAUCUCGCUUGGCCCCCACCUGAUUCCUGACAUACAGCAGAGGAAGCUUAGGCUCAGGUGGAACAGCCUCAACUGAUUCAGUCCCUGAACUUCCGUACACAGCCCUGGAGUCGUCUUAGAGCCAUGAUUUAUUUAACUGUUCUUUCAUUUUACAGAACAUAAAAUGUAUUGUUUCCAACUUUUUUCCUAUGGUAAAUAAUACUAAAGUAAAUAUCUCUGUGCAUGAAUCUUUUUGUAUAUGUUGGAAUAUCCUUAAGAUAAGGCCCCAGAACUAAAAGUACCCUGUCAAAGGGUGAGCAUUUCCGGUUCCCCUGCUGUGCUUUGCUGCGUUGUUCUCCCCUGCUGCAACGUUCUCACUCCACAAUCCUGGGGCAGGUAGGGGAGGCCCAGCUGAGUUUGGAUCAUAAUCCUUCAUUCUCAAUUUUGUUUGUUAUAAGUAGCUUGAUUGUCAUACAGCAUCCAACGACGCAUAUUUCCUUUAUUUUUUUUGAGAUGGAGUCUUGCUCUGUCACCCAGGCUGGAGUGCAGGGGCGCGAUCUCGGCUCACUGCAACCUCUGCCUCCCGGGUUCAAGUGAUUCUCCUGCCUCAGCCUCCCGAGUAGCUGGGAUUACAGAUGCCCAUCACCACGCCCAGCUAAUUUUUGUAUUCUUAGUAGAGAUGGGGUUUCACCAUGUUGGCUAGGCUGGUCUUGAACUCCUGACCUCAUGAUCCACCUGCCUCGGCCUCCCAAAGUGCUGGGAUUACAGGUGCGAGCCACCGUGCUCUGCAUAUUUUCACGUUAAAAAUGUUUUAUUUAAAAAAAAAAAAAAGAUGUCCAGAAGAGUUGCAAAGACAGUACUGCAACUUCCCACAGACCCGUUCACCAGCUUCCUCUCACUUGAGCAUCUUACACGCAAUGAGGCACGUGUAGAAACUGCGACACUCACACGGGUGCCAUCUCAG
rnacentral:lncRNA from 10 species